CCCUACUGCAUUGGUUUGGAGCGAUGUCCAACACGGAAGGCAUAACCCAAGCAAUUGGCAAGAAUAAUCCAUUACUUUAAUCACGAAUGGUGCAUAUAUAGCUUCUACUUUGAUUCGAAAUUAUCGAUCCUUUAAUUGGCACAUACAUUUCUCUGCACGCAUAACAAGUGAAGCAGAAAUGGCUAGCGAAGACGACGCCGACGACUCCGUUUCACCAACCGCGGGAGGUUUCCGGCUACGCUGGGACGUGUUCCUGAGCUUCAGAGGCGAAGACACCCGCUCAACGAUCACGAAGAAUAUCUACGAGGAGCUCGAGAAACGCAGCGUCCGAGUCUUCCGAGACGACGAAGGUUUGAACCGCGGGGACGAGAUCGCCUCUGGUCUGCUGGAGGCGAUCGAAGACUCGGCGGCGGCCAUCGUCGUCCUGUCGCCGAGAUAUGCCGAGUCAAGGUGGUGCCUUGAAGAGCUGGCUAAGAUAUGCGAGCGUAGCCGGAGACUGCGCCUGAUGAUUCUGCCUGUGUUUUACCAAGUAGACCCCUCCGACGUUCGACGGCAGAGGGGCCCAUUUGCAGAGCAUUUUAGAGCUCAUGAGCAAGUGUACGAAAACGCCGUCGUCUCUAGGUGGAGGAGCGCCAUGGCGAAGGUCGGUGGUACAGCUGGGUAUAUUUUCAACGCCAGCAAAGAAGCAGAGUUGAUUCAAUUGUUAGUCAAAACGGUUUUGACUGAAAUACGCAAAACCCCUGUGGGUCUUGCUGAAUACACAGUGGGACUUGAUUCCAGAGUUGAAGACAUGAUGAGGUUGUUAGAUGUAAGAUCCAAGGGCAUUCGAGUUGUCGGAAUUCAUGGCAUGGGUGGUGUUGGCAAGACAACACUUGCCAAGGCUCUUUUUAAUAGACUUGUGGGUUAUUUUGAGUGCCACAGUUUCAUCUCAAAUGUUAGAGAAAUUUCAGCAGGGCAUGAGGGUUUAGUAUCACUUCAAAACAAGCUUAUUGGUAGUCUUUCUUCUAAUACCAUGUCUGCAAAUGAACUUAAUACUGGUAUUUCUGCAAUCAAAGCAAUUGUAUACGAGAAGCGAGUUCUUAUUGUCUUGGAUGAUGUUGAUAAUGUAAACCAACUAAAUGCUUUAGUUGGCAGCAGACAAUGGUUUUAUGAAGGAAGCUGAAUUAUUGUUACCACCAGAGAUAGAGAAGUCUUACCCAGUCAUCUUGUGAACGAGUUGUAUGAGGUCAGGGAGUUGCAAUUCCCUCAGGCACUUCAACUUUUUAGUUACCAUGCACUGAGAAGAGAAAAACCCACGGAUACUUUCUUAACUCUCUCUCAGCAAAUUGUGUCUCUCACAAGUGGGCUACCAUUGGCUCUUGAAAUAUUUGGUUCUUACCUUUUUGAUAAGAGGAGAAUAGAGGAAUGGAGAGAUGCUCUGCAGAAACUGAAACAGAUUCGUCCGCGCAAUCUUCAGGAUGUGUUAAAGAUAAGUUAUGAUGCGCUAGAUGAGCAAGAGAAGUGCAUCUUUCUAGACAUUGCAUGUUUAUUUGUAACAAUGAAUAUGAGGAGAGAAGAUGCAAUUGACAUAUUAAAAGGUUGUGGUUUUGAUGGUGAGAUAGCAAUUGCUGACCUCGUAGCAAAAUCUCUCAUUAAAGUUUAUGGAGACAGUAUCUUGUGGAUGCACGAUCAAGUUAAAGACAUGGGAAGACAAAUCGUUACGGAGGAAAACGUUGUAGAUCUUGGCAUGCGUAGUAGACUUUGGGAUCGUGAUGACAUAUUGAAUGUCUUCAAGGAUGAUAAGGGAACAAGAAGUAUACAGGGGAUAGUACUAGACUUUGAAUCAACAAAAAGGCUGGUGAAGGAUCCAAGUGGUGACAGAAUUUCUUGGGAUAACUUUCGAAGAUACCCAACUUUUACCUCUGCAGUUACAUACCUAAAAGAAAGAUACAAAACAUAUCUUCAAACGAAAGCAGAGAAAGAGAGACAGGUUACAAUUUGCACUAAACCCCUAAGAAAAAUGGUCAAUCUUAGACUGCUUCAAAUCAAUUAUCUGAAUUUGGAAGGCCGCUUCAAGUUUCUUCCCGCAGAGUUGAAGUGGUUACAGUGGAAAGGUUGUCCUCUGAAUUCUCUUCCUUCGGAUUUUCCCCCUCGCCAACUUGCUGUCCUUGAUCUUUCACGCAGCAAAAUCGAACGUUUGUGGCAUGGGCGCCGUAACAAGGUGGCUGAGAAAUUGAUGCUUUUGAAUCUAUAUGGUUGCUUUAACCUAACCACCAUUCCUGAUUUAUCUGGGAAUCAGGCCUUGGAAAAGCUUAAUCUUGAGCGUUGCAGUAAACUGACUAAACUUCAUGCCUCGAUUGGGAAUUUGCAUACAUUGAUCCACUUGAACCUUCGAGACUGUGAAAACCUCGUUGAACUUCCAAAUGAUGUCUCCGGCCUGACAAAACUUGAGAACCUGAUCCUCUCUGGUUGCUUACAACUGAAAGAACUGCCAAGCAACAUGGACAGCAUGGUAUCAUUAAAAUAUCUUCUCCUUGAUGGCACUGCUGUAAAAAGUCUUCCAGAAUCUAUUUUCCGGUUUUCAAAACUCGAAAAGCUCAGCUUGAACCGGUGCAAACAUUUGAAAGGGCUACCUGAGUUGAUAGGAAAGUUGCAUUCUCUGAAAGAAAUCUCCCUCAACGAUUCUGCUUUAGAAAAACUACCUGUUUCCUUUGGAUAUUUGGCAAACCUUGAGAAACUAAGUUUGCUCUGGUGUAAAUCACUGACAACUAUUCCUGAUUCCAUUGGCAACCUCAGUUCGUUAAUGGAAUUUCAUACUUACGGUAGCGGAAUCAAAGAACUUCCUGUGUCCAUUGGUUCAUUAUCAAAUUUGAAGGAAUUAUCAACAGGACACGGUCAAAUUUUGAGCAGAUUGCCUGAUUCAAUUGGAGGUUUGAAUUCUCUAGUUGUGCUAAAAAUUGAUCAGACAUUAAUCACAGAUCUUCCACAUGAGAUUGGUGCCUUGAAGUCACUUGAGAAGCUUGAGAUGAGGAAAUGUGCAUUUCUUAGAUCGUUACCAGAAUCAAUUGGAAGCAUGAAGGCAUUGACUACAUUAGUCAUAACUGAAGCUGAUAUUACUGCAUUGCCAGAAUCGAUAGGGAUGUUGGAAAACCUUACAAUGUUACAGUUGAACAGAUGUAAACACCUCCGCAAGCUUCCAACUUCAAUAGGCCAAUUAAAGUCCUUGCACAGAUUGCAGAUGGUGGAAAAUGCUGUGACAGAACUACCCGAAAGCUUCGGAAUGCUUUCCAGUUUAAUGGUUUUAAAUAUGGGAAAGAAGUAUCAAAAGAGGGAAGAUACAGAAGAGAUUAAAUUUAUACUCCCCGCUUCUUUCUCAAAUCUAUCCUUGCUAUAUGAACUGCAUGCUGGUGCUUGUAAUAUAUCUGGUAAAAUUGCAGAUGAUUUCGAGAAGUUGUCACUGCUCGAAAUCUUGAAUCUAGGCCGUAAUAACUUUUACGGCCUUCCAGCCAGCCUGAGGGGCCUAUCUCUUCUCAGAAAGCUUAUAUUACCUCACUGUAAAAAGCUCAAGGCUUUGCCUCCGCUUCCCUCAAGUUUAGAAGAGGUGGAUGCUGCAAACUGCACCUCAUUAGAAAGUAUCUCUGAUAUUUCAAACCUGGAGAACUUGGCGAUGCUGAACCUUACAAGUUGUGAGAAAGUUGUGGACAUUCCAGGACUUGAAUGCUUGAAGUCCUUGGUAAGGUUGUAUGCAAGUGGUUGCACAGCUUGCUCAUCAGCUAUUAAGAAAAGACUUGCUAAGAGCUACAUGAGGAAAAUACGCAAUCUUAGCAUUCCCGGGAGCAAGAUACCAGACUGGUUUUCUCAAGAUGUGGUUACAUUCUCAGAAAGAAAAAACUGUGUUCUCAAAAGUGUGAUCAUAGGUGUUGUAGUCUCUCUCAACCAGCAAGUACCAGAUGACAUGAGAGACGAAGUCCCUGCAAUAGUAGACAUUCUAGCACAGAUCCUCAUACUGGAUUUUCCUACAUAUACUUCAGCUUUAUUCUUAUUGGGAGUGCCAAAUACAAAUGAAGAUCAAGUUCACUUGUGCCGAUACCCAAUUCACCAUCCCUUGGUUUCUCAGUUGAAAGAUAGUUAUAACAUACGUGUGAUACGGAGAGAGCCACCGAUGAUGAAAGGGGUUGAGCUGAAGAAGUGGGGGAUCCAUUUGGUCUAUGAAGGUGAUGAUGAGUAUGAGGGAGAUGAAGAAUCAUUAAAUGAAAGCCAGCAAUCCCUUUCAGAAAAGAUGGCAAGGUUCUUCAGCUCUUUUGAAGAAGGUGGCUGAACCUGUACUUUUGAGAAAGAUGACUGCACAUCUGAAUGAAUUUAGCUGUAGUGUUUCUCUCGUCUCUCUGUUAUCGACUGAUAAUUCCCCUAUCCACGUGUUUUAUUUAUCAAUUUUAGUUUCCCAUUUAAAGCCAAAUGACAUCGUUUUAAGCCAAUGCAACACAAGGAGCGUGCUGAAGAACAUGAACAUUCUCACAAUUGAUUAAAAGUGUUGUAAAUCAAUAAGAUUAAAGUGGAUGCCACCUAUGCUUUCCUCUAACAAUAUCUACCGGAUGACUCACCCCAUUAUGCUAUCAAACCUAACAUUUUGU